GCAGGACACAUGUGCAUACAUGUCCAAAUCCCCAAAGGGAAGAGACAGGGAGGAGAAGGGACCGCAAUGUGGACAUCCUGAAGGAUCCAUGGUGAUUCUAAGACCAGAACUAAAGUAUCCUGGCUCUCAGUUAUAGUAAUAAAAACAAAUGACAGGCUGGAGAAAGAAAAAUACAUACCUUGCCCACUGCUGCUAUACUUUUUCUCCUCCUGGAUAUUUGAAGGUGAGAUGGGCCUAUUUAACUACCUGGCAGUUCAUGGUCUCCUAAAAACAGAAGAAAGAAAAAAAAAAAAAAAAGAAA